rnacentral:rRNA from 1 species
AACCUUUGCAAUGUGCGCAAGCACGACAAGGUUAAUCCGAGUGUUUCCUGCUAAAGGAAUCUUUUGUUAGUUCUAAAACCACUGAUGAAUAAGGGGUGGGCAAGUUCUGGUGUCAGCCGCCGCGGUAAAACCAGCACCUCAAGUGGUCAGGAGGAUUAUUGGGCCUAAAGCAUCCGUAGCCUGUUCUGUAAGUUUUCGGUUAAAUCCAUUAGCUCAACUAAUGGGCCGCCGAAAAUACUGCAGAACUAGGGAGUGGGAGAGGUAGACGGUACUCGGUAGGAAGGGGUAAAAUCCUUUGAUCUAUUGAUGACCACCUGUGGCGAAGGCGGUCUACCAGAACACGUUCGACGGUGAGGGAUGAAAGCUGGGGGAGCAAACCGGAUUAGAUACCCGGGUAGUCCCAGCUGUAAACGAUGCAGACUCGGUGAUGCGCUGGCUUGUGGCCAGUGCAGUGCCGCAGGGAAGCCGUUAAGUUUGCCGCCUGGGAAGUACGUACGCAAGUAUGAAACUUAAAGGAAUUGGCGGGGGAGCAC